ACGCUCGGUAAGACAGCUAAGAGAAAAGAUAUCCAACUCCCAGUCAAGAGAAAAUGUAUUUAUUGCAGAUCGCCAUGGUGAAAGGCGUGCACUGAAACAGGCAAGGCAAGGGCCCGCCCCGAAAUAAACGUCAGUCCUCUAACAGACUACAGUCAGGAAAAGAUGGCGUCGGCUGUGUUUCGUCUUUCCCGGCUCUCGGCUCUGAAAAGCGCCGGAGUUUCAACACUAAAUACUGGGACAAAAUGCCCCGCUGCGCGUUUAACACUGUACCGAAACACUGUCUCCACGGCAUCUGGCGGCAUUCCACCACAGCCGGUGAAAAGUAUUUCCACAAUGGCCGAGCCCAGAGGGAAUCAGGGGAAGAGGAGCAGCUUACGAAGAUUUGGCAGCCGUCAGUCACUCCUCCAGAACAUGGCUGAAUUCCCUUCCUCGAUUCCCCUUUACCUCACGGAUCCUACACCUUCUAUUUGAAAGAGCAAUACAGGGUGCUGCUCUCUGUCAUUCAUAAUUUUCGUGUACAGUUUAAGCAAAAAGUGAACCGUGUGCAUGUCAGAUUCCUUUGACACCUUGUUUUACCUCCUGGAAUGUCUUUUUAUAAGAAAAAAAAGCAUAGCAAUAAAACACUACUGUAUAGUGUUUUCUUUAGACCUAUAUUAACUGAAAUUAAAGUGCAAUUUGAUUUUGAGAUGCGUGAAACCUCUGAGUGUGAUGUCAUUCAAACAGUGUCUGAAAAUAAAGCAUUCAAGCCAAGAC